rnacentral:rRNA from 1 species
UGAAACCUUGUGAUCUACCCAUGGUCAGGAUGAAGGAGGGGUAACACUCUCUGGAGGUCCGAACUGCUGAGCGUUGAAAAGCUCUCGGAUGAACUGUGGGUAGGGGUGAAAGGCUAAUCAAACUGGGAAAUAGCUCGUACUCCCCGAAAUGCCUUUAGGGGCAGCGUCGAGGUAGAGUUUUAUAGAGGUAGAGCUACUGAUUGGAUGCGGGGGAAGCGAUUCCUACCAAGUCCUGACAAACUCCGAAUGCUAUAAAAUAUACUCGGCAGUGAGCCGGCGGGUGCUAAGGUCCGUCGGCGAGAGGGAAAGAACCCAGACCAACAGCUAAGGUCCCAAAAUUUAUGCUAAGUUGACAUGACGAAGUCCGAUUGCAUUGACAGCCAGGAUGUUUGCUUGGAAGCAGCCAUUCAUUUAAAGAGUGCGUAACAGCUCACUGGUCGAGCGAUUGGGCGUGGACGAUACUCGGGCAUUAAGCAUAAUACCGAAGCUUUGGAUUAUAUAGCAAUAUAUACUGGUAGGGGAGCAUUCUAACUGCGUUGAAGAAGAUGCGUAAGCUCUAUUGGAGCGGUUAGAAAAGCAAAUGUAGGCAUGAGUAACGAUAAGAAAGGCGAGAAACCUUUCCGCCGAUAGUCUAAGGUUUCCUGAACAACGAUAAUCGGUUCAGGGUCAGUCGGGUCCUAAGGCGAAGCCGAACGGCGUAGUCGAUGGAUAACUGGUUAAUAUUCCAGUACCUGUUCUGCUGCGAUGGGGUGACGAAGAAGUGAAAGCGCGGCGCACAUACGGAAUUGUGCGUUGAAGGUCGUAGGUAUAUCUUUGGUUGGCAAAUCCGCCAGAGAUGCUGAAAGCUGAUAGUAUGCUGAGUCGCAAGACAAGGCAAUAAGCGUGUAAUCCUGCUUCCAAGAAAAACCCCUAAGCUCCAGGCAUGAACAGCCCGUACCGCAAACCGACACAGGUAGACAAGUAGAAUAUACUAAGGCGCUCGAGUGAUCCGUGGCUAAGGAACUAGGCAAAUUAACCCCGUAACUUCGGGAAAAGGGGUACCCUACGCAAGUAGGGUCGCAGAGAAAUGGCGGUGGCGACUGUUUAUCAAAAACACAGGGCUAUGCGAAAACGAAAGUUGAUGUAUAUGGCCUGAAACCUGCCCGGUGCCGGAAGGUUAAGAGGAGAGGUUAGGAGCAAUCCAAAGCUUUGAAUCGAAGCCCCGGUAAACGGCGGCCGUAACUAUAACGGUCCUAAGGUAGCGAAAUUCCUUGUCGGGUAAGUUCCGACCUGCACGAAUGGUUUAACGAUCUCCGCUCUGUCUCAGCCACGAGCUCGGUGAAAUUGUGGUAUCAGUGAAGACGCUGAUUACCCGUCACGGGACGGAAAGACCCCAUGCACCUUUACUAUAGCUUAGCAUUGACUUCGGGUAAAUG